rnacentral:lncRNA from 1 species
UUUUUUUGGAAAAAAAAAUGUCUACUCAAAUUGCUGCCCACUUUUUAAUUGGAUCGUUUGGGUCUUUUAGUUUUGAAUUGUAUAAGUUAUUUAUAUAUUUCCAAUAUUUACUCCUUAUUGGAUAUAUCAUUUACAAAUAUUUUCUCCCAUUCAGUUGAUUGACUUUUUUUUAUGAUGGUUUCUUUUACUUAUGAAAAAGCUUUUUAUUUAGAUGGAAUCCCAAUAGUUUAUUUUUGCUUUUGUUUCCCUUGCCUGAGGAGACAUAUUUAAGAAAAUAUUGCUAUUAUUGAUGUCAGAGAAAUUAUUAUCUGUAUUUUCUUUUAGGAUUUUUAUGGCUUCAGAUCUCACACUUAGGUCUUUAAUCCAUUUCGAGUUUAUUUUUGUGUGCGGUGUUAGGAAGUGGUCCAGUUUCAUUCUUUUCCAUGUAGCUGUCCAAUUUUCCCAGUGCCAUUUAUUGAAGCAACUGUUUCUCUAUUGUAUAUUCUUGUCUCUGUGGUGUAGCUUAAUUGACCAUAUGAGCAUGGAUUUCUUUCCAGGCUCUGUGUUCUGUUCCAUUGAUCUAUGUCUAUUUUUUUUGUGCCACCACCAUCCUGUUUUGAUUAAUAAGGCUUUGUAGUAUAUCUUGAAAUAUGGAAUUAUGAUGCCUCCAGCUUUUUUUAUCUCUCAAAAUUGCUUUGGCUUUGGGGUCUUUUGAGGUUCUUUACAAAUGUUGGGGUUAUUUCUUCUAGUUCUGUGAAGGUUGUGUUUAUAUUUUGAUAGGGGUUGCAUUGAAUGUGAAGAUUGCAAUCUCUGGAUCUAAUUUGAAUUUUGAUACGGAUUAACAAACUGUUAGCAAAAAAGAUGGUCAUGGGGAAUUUGGGGGAAAUUUUAUACCCUGACUACUUUUCUGAUGUUAGUAAGGAAUUAUUGUGGAAUUAAGGAGUGUUAUUAAAGAAUUACUGUGAUUUUUAAAAAGAUUUUAUUUAUUUAUUCAUGAGAGACACAGAGAAAGAGGUAGAGACACAGGAGGAGAAGAAGGCUCCAUGCAGGGAGCCCAUUGUCGACUCUAUCCUGGGGCUCCAGGAUCACUCCCUGACCAAAGGCAGAUGCUCAACUGCGGAGCCACUCUGGUGUCCCUAUUGUGAAAUUUUUAGAUGGCAAAGGUAUUUUUAAAAUAUUUCUGAAGAUUAUUUAGCUUUUGACAUGGAUAUAAAAUAUUUAUGUGAAAUUAUUUGAGAUUAACUGAAAAAUAAUCAGAAGAUGAAAAGGACAUGGAUGAGGAUAGCAGAUGGGAAGUGGAUAGAGAUGACACAAGAUGGCUAAAUCAAUAAACAUCAAAUCCAAGUGAUAAGUGCAUGUAGAUGUUGCUUUUCUAUACAUUUUAAACUUUUUCUAAUAAAAUGGUUUCUUAAAAAAUAUUUUCUAGACAGGAGGGUCUUUAGAGCAUCCUGGAAAAAAGGAAAAAAAAAAAAGAAAAGAGGGGGUAAUAGAUUACUUAGAGAAAAAAGAAAGUAGACUGUUAAUACCUUAACAGUAACAAUGGAAGCAUAAACAACAAAAUAACAUAUUCAAUAAUGAAUAGAUUGCACAGUUAAUUAAAAAAGGGAAAAUAUUUCCAGAUGUACAGUAGCUUACUACUUUUGUUCCAGCAAAGUAUCUCUGUAGGAAAUUGAAAAAUGAAUUUAAGAAGAAGAGAAAAUUCAUCCAUGAAAUCUGAGAGAAAAAUCAUGAUCAAAGGAAACAGAAAGUGUUUGAAAAAUCUAAACAAUUAAAAAAAAUCUAAACAAUUUAAAGGACCACUGACUAAUACUAAUAAUUGUGGCAUGAAUAAAUCAAUGUAAAAUAAACAUUAGAGAACAAAGUAUGAAUGUUAAGAAAUUACUCAGACAAAAUAAUCUGAAGUUCAUUAUAUUGCUUCGGACUGAGAACACCUAUCAAAUAGCAUCCACAUUUUAAGUUUAAUAUGAGUGUUAAAUUUUUAAUUUACUAAUGAAUAUAAGUAAGUGUGAAAUUCCCAAAGAAAAAGGAAUAAGGAGAAAGAAAAUAGUGUAACAAAAAACAGAGGAUGCAAUACAAACCAAUUCAAGAAAGUGGUUAAACACAGAAUAAGAGAGAAAAUCAUAAAAGUAAUGGAAAUUAAUCCAUAUUAAUCAUUUUAAUAUAUGAGAAAUAUGUGAUAAAUGUAAAUGAUCUAAAUUAUCCAGUUCUAGAAAAAUAUUAUCAGAGUUGAGUUUUUAAAAUUCAGAUUUGAGACUUCUUCAAAAUAAGAUAGUAUAAUCAGUGACAGGCUAAUUAUUACACUGAGAAUAAUCAGGAAAAUAAUUUAAAAUAUAAAAACCAUUCAUUUUUAAGGCAUAAGAUAUUUGCAAAAGGAAUAGGAGGAAGAGAAGGCAUACAUUUUCAAUGAUUGUAGAAACUCUUGGAGUUUAAAUGGUGGUAUUUAUUUAUUUAUUUAUUUAUUUUUCAUGGAGGUUUGUCUGAUUCUUACCUUGGCCAAGAAUUUAAAACGUUGAUUUAGGUCCAGGCAGAGGACUACUGCCAAUAGGAAAAAUAACCUAACAGAACUUUGGUUGGUCUCAUGGAACUGCAGGGACAAAUAUGGAUUCUUGAGAGUAUUUGGACUCUAAAUCCUGAACAACUAAUGGGUCAAAGAAGAUAUCAAAAGAGAAAUUCAAAAUAUAUAUUGAGACAAAUAGUAAAACACAUCACAACUAAUGGAAAACAGCAAAAGCAGUUCUGAGUAUCUAUAACAGUAAAUGUCUAUAGAACAAAACAAUACAAAACCCCAAAGAUCUCCAAUAGACAACCUACCUUUAUAUAUCAAGGAACUGAAAAAUGAGAGCAGACUAAAACCAAAGUUAAAGCAGAAACCAAUGAAAUAGAGACUAAAAAGAUAAUAAUCAACAAAAACUAAGAGUUGGUUUUUGAAAAGAUAAACAAAAUUGACAAGUCUUUAGCUAGACUAAGAAAAAAAGAGAAAAUUCAAAUAAAAUCAGAAACGAAAGAGGAAACUUUUCAACUUAUACUACAGAAAUCUCUUUAGAAGACGAGGAGAGGUUAUUAUGAACCAUCAUACACCAACAAAUUGAAUAACCUAGAAGAAAGGGGCAAAUUUUAGAAACAUACAACCUACCAACACUGGACCAUGAAGAAAUAGAAAAUGUGUAUAGAUCAAAAACAAAUCAAGAGAAUAAAGCAGUACUAAAAAGUUUCCCAACAAAGAAAAUCCAGGACCAGAUGGCGAAUUCUACUAAAUUUUCUAUUUUCUAAUAAAAAAAAAGAUUCUAUUUAUUUAUUCAUGAGAGACACAGAAAGAGACAGAGACAAAGGCAGAGGGAGAAGCAAGCUCCAUGUAGGAAGCCCGAUGUGGGACUCGAUCCUGAGACUCUGGGAUCACUCCUUGGAACCAGAGGCAGAUGCUCAACUGCUGAGCCACCCAGGUGUCCCUCUACUAAAUAUUUUAAGAAAGAGCUAAUGCUAAUUCUCUUCAAACUCUUCCAAAGAAUUGAGUAGGAAGGAACAUUUCCAAACUUACUAUACAAAGCCAGCAUUAUUCUGACACCAAAGCCAGGUAAAGAUAUUACAAGAAAAGAAAACUGCAGGCCAAUAUCCCUGAUGAAUAUAGAUGCAAAAUCCCUCAAUCUGGUAUGGGAUUCUGUUGCUUCUAGAACCUUUGUUCUUUUCCAAAUCCUAACCUUUGUUCUUAGUGGUCCCCAGGAGACCGUGGCUUACCAAGUGCAGUCAGUGCCCCGAAGAGGGAAAUUCCUGCAAGCUCAUUAGACCUCCAGGGGACAACU